GAGACCCUCAAAGACAUCACUGAGGAGCCUCCAGAGACCCCCAAAGACAUCACUGAGGAGCCUCCAGAGACCCCAAAGGCAUCACUGAGGAGCCUCCAGAGACCCAAAAGACUUAACAGUUACAGACGAGGAUGGGACACGUGAUCCUGACCGCGUUCUGUAUGUGGGGCUGUUUACUGAUCGUGACUCUACUGAUAUCUGAGGAACAAUUGACAAGAGCAUCAAACUACAUCCAGCAGCACCUCUCUAAGAACCUUAACUCUAUAUAUUCCUACUUUGUCAAGUUGACUGAAGAAUACACCCAAGGGUUAACCUCCAACGUUUUACAGGAGACGAAGAAGAUGCUGGAAAAUGUACAAGAAAGUAAAUGACCAUCAUAUCUAUAAGGGAACAAGAAUGGUCGUGUCUUCAUACCACACAUAUAAAAAGGACAAUAAAGAACACAGCCGCCACGCGGUGAAUAAUGGAUCCAAACUACGGUUCCCCGAUCCACAGUCAGCUGACCAACGGCUCUUUGCUGGUUGUGCCAUAUUUUGUUCUUUUUACUCCCCAUGUGUAUUUAGAUGUGUCCUACCUGAUGGGAACUGUAACAUUUGACUGCUUUAAAAAUGAUGUUCCCCAAUAUCAGUGUUAUAAAGGGGACAUCAAACAUUAGAUUAAAGGUUUUACACCCAGAAAACCAAACAUAAAAAACAAUAACAAUAUCCUGUCAAUAAAAUCUAUCAGUAUAUUGAUCCCCCGCUCAUACGGGAUGUUAUGUUUUGCUCAAAUCAUGAACACUCACCAUCUUUAAUCCCAUAGCACCAUCUGUUUUAUUUCAGCACAGCUGCAGUCAUGUUUUUUUUUAGCUCUAUCUGUAUACUGCUGCUAUCUAUGUGGGAUUAAGAUAUAUAAUAGUUAUACACCCCCCUCCAGCUCUAUCUGUAUACUGCUGCUAUCUAUGUGGGAUUCAGA